GUCCAGUCCCUGGAAGAUGAAGUUAGUUAGCAUUUGGUGCCCAGCCAGCAGCAAUGUGACUUAGGCUUUUCGUCCUAGUAGGAAUUUGACUCGUUGGGCCUGCAAAAGAUUUUCGUGACAAAUGAAAUAUUUUUCUAAACCAAGGACUUGGGGAUAACUUGAGGGUCAAGGACAUCUUAUCAUAUUUAAGAACAGCCACAGGAUGUCUAGGAGCCAGCAGAGGGGCCAGAUAUGCUGCAGUUUAUGCUGUAAAAGGAAGCCUGCCACCGUGAGUGGUCCAGUGGGAGCUCUUGCUUUGUGUCCUCAGCCUUUCACCUUUCCAUCUGAU